UACGAAGGGGGCUAGCGUUGCUCGGAAUCACUGGGCGUAAAGCGCACGUAGGCGGCUUUUUAAGUCAGAGGUGAAAUCCUGGAGCUCAACUCCAGAACUGCCUUUGAUACUGAGAGGCUUGAGUCCGGGAGAGGUGAGUGGAACUGCGAGUGUAGAGGUGAAAUUCGUAGAUAUUCGCAAGAACACCAGUGGCGAAGGCGGCUCACUGGCCCGGUACUGACGCUGAGGUGCGAAAGCGUGGGAGCAAACAGG
rnacentral:rRNA from 1 species